AAUUCAAAAUAGUGACACGAAGAAGUUUAAUUUGAUUUGUGUCCAAUGAUUAGAGAGAGAGAAAGAGAGAGAGGGAAACACCACCACCGCACUCACCCACCACCGGUUGCCGGUUUCCCUGCAGUGUGGUGAUGACUGCCCUUUAGUAUAUUAUCAGGAGAUCGCCACCUUUAAGGCCUGGUGUGACAGCCAUUUUAUUUUAUUUUACAUUGAUAAAACAAAGAAAUGAUACGUGACUACCCAUAACAUGAGUGCCCAUUUAAAUAAUCUGUUUGAUAUGCCAGCUAGAGACUUUAUUUCCUCCACAGACUCCCGGGAAAUUGAGAUCAUGUUAAAAUUCUACAAAUCUAUAAAUAGAGCUGUCUAAUUCAUACACACUGGACCUUUAACACUAUCUAUGAAACUAUGGUUGUCACAAAAACCAACAAGAGUUUGCACAAGAUGCAAAAACAAUCGCUUUAAACUUUCUUUCUUUCCAAUGUCUAUUAUCAACUGAACAAACAACCAAGUUCAGUCCUGCUUUUCAACUCCACUUGCCAAGAACAUUUCGAAACAUUUGUUUUUCUAAAAUGAAGGCGGGAUAACAUGUAAAAGCAAGAGGCAGAAACAUUACAGCUGGCUACAACCAGUUUUUAAAGGCGUGGUUGUAUUAAUUACUCACUUCAGCUCAAGCAUUUCCCUUUUCUUGGUUUACUCAUGAAUUCUCUCUUAUCUCCCUGUAUCAUUACAGAUGGUUAUUAUCCAUCUAAAUAAAUGUGAUACAAAAUAAAAAGCAUAUCAAAAAUAGAUAUUGAUGAUUGUGAUGGUGGUUAAUGCAACCUAUGAAAGAGAAAUGUUGACAAAAUUGAAAAUGUCAACGAUAUGAUUGAUAUUCAUGAUGAGAAGUUCAGUGUUCGUGCAUCAUGAUUAAUAAUCAACAAUAUCAACACAGAAAAUGCCAAGACAGAUGGAUAAUUCAGCUUUAAUCUGAUGACUGUUCACUAUUAACCGUCUGGAUUACCUAUAAAUACUGCAUAAAAAAACUGAAUCACUCAUCGCUAUCGUAUCAACAGUAUCAUAUGUAUCUUCUGUUGCCAUUUUCCCUGCACAGUCACUUUAAGAUGUGUGUAACAUCCUGACGUUGUUGUAGCAUGUCUGUGACACUUAUCUACCAUCUAGCAUAGCUAGUUUUAAGUAUCAGGUGACACUGCAAACCAGAAAAACAACCUCACUUGUAUCAACCUGUUUUUUUAUCUGACAGUAAAACAAAAAAUCACAACACUCUUCUGCAAGGCAGCAACAGAAGCUUGUCCAGCCAUCCUCAGUCUUCAGUCAUGGCAUAUGACAGCUCUUCCACACAUGGCAGACCUGUAGCCUUCACAGCAAAGCUGAAUGUCGAUGACAGCUACCCAAAACACUCUGGUGUCCUGAAGUUUGCCACUGUGCUGGCCAAUGAGGGAGGAGGUUACAGUGCUGACACAGGCAUCUUCACUUGCCCUUUGGAUGGCCUCUAUCACUUCAUGGUGCAUGUGACGGUGUAUGGACGCGGACAAUGUGCUAUAUUUAAGAACGGAGAGGUGGUAGUGUCACUGUAUCACACCAAUCUGCCAGAUAAACUCAGUUAUAACAGUAGCCAAGUAGCCAGUAUUAGCAGUGUGAUCAAACUUUCAAAGAACGAUGAGGUCUGGAUUAAUUUAUGGGGUCGGGGUCGAAAUGACAUCUUUGCAACUGAGGAUAAUGAUACUAUCUUUACUGGGUUUUAUUUAAGGUAAAGCUGUCAUUAUCAUAUGUUAUGUUCAUUUUCAUCUUAAUAUGUUUUAAUGAUCUUCUCAAAUUUCAAGUGCUGCUUGUCUGAAAUUAAAUGAAAUAUCGUGCAUGGAUUAAUAUAGUGGUACACUUGA